rnacentral:rRNA from 1 species
UGGGGGAUAUUGCACAAUGGAGGAAACUCUGAUGCAGCAACGCCGCGUGAGGGAAGAAGGUCUUCGGAUUGUAGACCUCAGUAGUCAGGGACGAAAGAAAUGACGGUACCUGAAGAGUAAGCUCCGGCUAACUACGUGCCAGCAGCCGCGGUAAUACGUAGGACCCAAGCGUUGUCCGGAUUUACUGGGUGUAAAGGGUGCGCAGGCGGAUGGGUAAGUCAGGGGUGAAAGUCUGCAGCUUAACUGUAGAAUUGCCUUUGAUACUGCUCAUCUUGAGUGUGGGAGAGGUUGAUGGAAUUCCAGGUGUAGCAGUGAAAUGCGUAGAUAUCUGGAAGAACACCAGUGGCGAAGGCGGUCAACUGGCCCAUAACUGACGCUCAUGCACGAAAGCGUGGGGAGCAAACA